rnacentral:rRNA from 1 species
CGUAGGGUACGAGCGUUAAUCGGAAUUUACUGGGCGUAAAGCGCGCGCAGGCGGUUUGUUAAGAUAGGCGUGAAAUCCCCGGGCUCAACCUGGGAACUGCGCUUAUGACUGGCAAGCUAGAGUACGGCAGAGGGGGGUGGAAUUCCACGUGUAGCAGUGAAAUGCGUAGAGAUGUGGAGGAACACCAAUGGCGAAGGCAGCCCCCUGGGUCGAUACUGACGCUCAUGCACGAAAGCGUGGGUAGCAAACAGGAUUAGAUACCCUGGUAGUCCACGCCCUAAACGAUGUCAACUAGGUGUUGGGAGGGUAAAACCUUUUAGUACCGGAGCUAACGCGUGAAGUUGACCGCCUGGGGAGUACGGCCGCAAGGUUGA